AGUCGAGCGGACAGAUGGGAGCUUGCUCCCUGAUGUUAGCGGCGGACGGGUGAGUAACACGUGGGUAACCUGCCUGUAAGACUGGGAUAACUCCGGGAAACCGGGGCUAAUACCGGAUGGUUGUUUGAACCGCAUGGUUCAAACAUAAAAGGUGGCUUCGGCUACCACUUACAGAUGGACCCGCGGCGCAUUAGCUAGUUGGUGAGGUAACGGCUCACCAAGGCAACGAUGCGUAGCCGACCUGAGAGGGUGAUCGGCCACACUGGGACUGAGACACGGCCCAGACUCCUACGGGAGGCAGCAGUAGGGAAUCUUCCGCAAUGGACGAAAGUCUGACGGAGCAACGCCGCGUGAGUGAUGAAGGUUUUCGGAUCGUAAAGCUCUGUUGUUAGGGAAGAACAAGUACCGUUCGAAUAGGGCGGUACCUUGACGGUACCUAACCAGAAAGCCACGGCUAACUACGUGCCAGCAGCCGCGGUAAUACGUAGGUGGCAAGCGUUGUCCGGAAUUAUUGGGCGUAAAGGGCUCGCAGGCGGUUUCUUAAGUCUGAUGUGAAAGCCCCCGGCUCAACCGGGGAGGGUCAUUGGAAACUGGGGAACUUGAGUGCAGAAGAGGAGAGUGGAAUUCCACGUGUAGCGGUGAAAUGCGUAGAGAUGUGGAGGAACACCAGUGGCGAAGGCGACUCUCUGGUCUGUAACUGACGCUGAGGAGCGAAAGCGUGGGGAGCGAACAGGAUUAGAUACCCUGGUAGUCCACGCCGUAAACGAUGAGUGCUAAGUGUUAG
rnacentral:rRNA from 1 species